rnacentral:rRNA from 2 species
GUAGCACAGAGAGCUUGCUCUCGGGUGACGAGUGGCGGACGGGUGAGUAAUGUCUGGGAAACUGCCUGAUGGAGGGGGAUAACUACUGGAAACGGUAGCUAAUACCGCAUAACGUCGCAAGACCAAAGAGGGGGACCUUCGGGCCUCUUGCCAUCAGAUGUGCCCAGAUGGGAUUAGCUAGUAGGUGGGGUAACGGCUCACCUAGGCGACGAUCCCUAGCUGGUCUGAGAGGAUGACCAGCCACACUGGAACUGAGACACGGUCCAGACUCCUACGGGAGGCAGCAGUGGGGAAUAUUGCACAAUGGGCGCAAGCCUGAUGCAGCCAUGCCGCGUGUAUGAAGAAGGCCUUCGGGUUGUAAAGUACUUUCAGCGGGGAGGAAGGUGUUGUGGUUAAUAACCGCAGCAAUUGACGUUACCC